UACGUAGGUGGCAAGCGUUGUCCGGAAUUAUUGGGCGUAAAGCGCGCGCAGGCGGUCCUUUAAGUCUGAUGUGAAAGCCCACGGCUCAACCGUGGAGGGUCAUUGGAAACUGGGGGACUUGAGUGCAGAAGAGGAGAGUGGAAUUCCACGUGUAGCGGUGAAAUGCGUAGAGAUGUGGAGGAACACCAGUGGCGAAGGCGGCUUACUGGUCCGGUUCUGACGCUGAGGCGCGAAAGCGUGGGGAGCAAACAGG
rnacentral:rRNA from 1 species